GGGUUGUGAGGUUAAGCGACUAAGCGUACACGGUGGAUGCCCUGGCAGUCAGAGGCGAUGAAGGACGUGCUAAUCUGCGAAAAGCGUCGGUAAGGUGAUAUGAACCGUUACAGCCGGCGAUGUCCGAAUGGGGAAACCCAGUGCAAUUCGUUGCACUAUCGUUAACUGAAUACAUAGGUUAACGAGGCGAACCGGGGGAACUGAAACAUCUAAGUACCCC
rnacentral:rRNA from 1 species